CAGCCGCCGCGGUAAUACCGGCGGCCCGAGUGGCGGUCACUAUUAUUGGGCUUAAAGCGUCCGUAGCCGGGUUGGGAAGUCCUCCGGGAAAUCUGGCCGCUUAACGGUCAGAAUGCCGGAGGAUACUCCCAGCCUAGGGAGCGGGAGAGGCCGAGGGUAUUCCCGGAGUAGGGGUGAAAUCCUAUAAUCCCGGGAGGACCACCUGUGGCGAAGGCGCUCGGCUGGGACGCGUCCGACGGUGAGGGACGAAGGCCAGGGGAGCAAACCGGAUUAGAUACCCGGGUAGUCCUGGCUGUAAACGAUGCGGACUUUGUGUCGGACAAGCUAUGAGCUUGUCCGGUGCCGGAGGGAAACCGUUAAGUCCGCCGCCUGGGGAGUACGGCCGCAAGGCUGAAACUUAAAGGAAUUGGCGGG
rnacentral:rRNA from 1 species